GACGAACGCUGGCGGCGUGCCUAAUACAUGCAAGUAGAACGCUGAAGGAAGGAGCUUGCUCUUUCCGGAUGAGUUGCGAACGGGUGAGUAACGCGUAGGUAACCUGCCUGGUAGCGGGGGAUAACUAUUGGAAACGAUAGCUAAUACCGCAUAAUAGCAGUUAUUGCAUGAUAACUGUUUGAAAGGUGCAAAUGCAUCACUACCAGAUGGACCUGCGUUGUAUUAGCUAGUUGGUGAGGUAACGGCUCACCAAGGCGACGAUACAUAGCCGACCUGAGAGGGUGAUCGGCCACACUGGGACUGAGACACGGCCCAGACUCCUACGGGAGGCAGCAGUAGGGAAUCUUCGGCAAUGGACGGAAGUCUGACCGAGCAACGCCGCGUGAGUGAAGAAGGUUUUCGGAUCGUAAAGCUCUGUUGUAAGAGAAGAACGAGUGUGAGAGUGGAAAGUUCACACUGUGACGGUAUCUUACCAGAAAGGGACGGCUAACUACGUGCCAGCAGCCGCGGUAAUACGUAGGUCCCGAGCGUUGUCCGGAUUUAUUGGGCGUAAAGCGAGCGCAGGCGGUUAGAUAAGUCUGAAGUUAAAGGCUGUGGCUUAACCAUAGUACGCUUUGGAAACUGGGAGACUUGAGUGCAGAAGAGGAGAGCGGAAUUCCAUGUGUAGCGGUGAAAUGCGUAGAUAUAUGGAGGAACACCAGUGGCGAAGGCGGCUCUCUGGUCUGUAACUGACGCCGAGGCUCGAAAGCGUGGGGAGCAAACAGGAUUAGAUACCCUGGUAGUCCAUGCCGUAAACGUUGGGCACUAGGUGUGGGGGACAUUCCACGUUUUCCGCGCCGUAGCUAACGCAUUAAGUGCCCCGCCUGGGGAGUACGGCCGCAAGGCUAAAACUCAAAGGAAUUGACGGGGGCCCGCACAAGCGGCGGAGCAUGCGGAUUAAUUCGAUGCAACGCGAAGAACCUUACCAAGGCUUGACAUGCAUUAGAUCGCGUCAGAGAUGGCGUUUCCCUUCGGGGCUGGUAUACAGGUGGUGCAUGGUUGUCGUCAGCUCGUGUCGUGAGAUGUUGGGUUAAGUCCCGCAACGAGCGCAACCCUCGUUCUAUGUUGCCAGCACGUGAUGGUGGGGACUCAUAGGAGACUGCCGGGGUCAACUCGGAGGAAGGUGGGGAUGACGUCAAAUCAUCAUGCCCCUUAUGUCUUGGGCCUCACGCAUGCUACAAUGGCCGGUACAGAGGGUUGCGAUACUGUGAGGUGGAGCUAAUCCCUAAAAGCCGGUCUCAGUUCGGAUUGGGGUCUGCAACUCGACCCCAUGAAGUCGGAGUCGCUAGUAAUCGCAGAUCAGCAACGCUGCGGUGAAUACGUUCCCGGGCCUUGUACACACCGCCCGUCAAGUCACGAAAGUUGGUAACACCCGAAGCCGGUGGCCUAACCCUGGUGGGGGGAGCCGUCGAAGGUGGGACUGGCGAUUGGGAC
rnacentral:rRNA from 1 species